CUACGGGCGGCACCAGUGGGGAAUUUUGGACAAUGGGCGCAAGCCUGAUCCAGCCAUUCCGCGUGAGUGAAGAAGGCCUUCGGGUUGUAAAGCUCUUUCGCAAGGGAAGAAAACUUAUCCUCUAACAUAGGGUGAGGUUGACGGUACCUUGAUAAGAAGCACCGGCUAACUACGUGCCAGCAGCCGCGGUAAUACGUAGGGUGCGAGCGUUAAUCGGAAUUACUGGGCGUAAAGCGUGCGCAGGCUGUUUUGUAAGUCAGAUGUGAAAUCCCCGAGCUCAACUUGGGAACUGCGUUUGAAACUACAAGACUAGAAUAUGUCAGAGGGGGGUAGAAUUCCAUGUGUAGCAGUGAAAUGCGUAGAGAUGUGGAGGAAUACCAAUGGCGAAGGCAGCCCCCUGGGAUAAUAUUGACGCUCAUGCACGAAAGCGUGGGGAGCAAACAGGAUUAGAUACCCGAGUAGUC
rnacentral:rRNA from 1 species